ensembl:lncRNA
CCCAGAGGCAAUUCAUACUUUUUCAACUCAUGUAUUUCUUUCCAGCUGUGACCCUUGCAAUUAGGUGGAGGUAGAGCUGCUGGGGAAUCAGAUAGAAGGAUUGAGAAACCCUGUGGAGAAAGCAAGAAAUUAUCUAUGUGUGCCAAAAAGAGGUGAUCAGAGAGCUGCAAUUAUGAAGUUAAUGGAGUAGUCAAAUACUACAACGUUGAAUGUACCCAAGAACCUGCAAACCUAUGCUGUCUGCCUAAGCAAUCUGCAUUAUGUGCUGGCAGCUAUGGCUCCUGUGGAAUUUAUGUUCUGAGCACUGAGGAAGAGCAUCUCCCCCUGAAGUCACCUAGCACUGAUUUCACAUUCUGGCUAUCCUAUAUUUGCUGUAAUUGGAAAAAUGUUUAAUUUUUUCAAAGUUUUCUUGAUAAAAUAUUCACAGAGGAAAUGCAGCAUUGUCUCCUUUUCAGGGAACAUGUCCUCUUGUGUUUCGAUUUCCACGAGAAUUGCAGGAAAGGAGUUCUUGUAAUAGCUGCUCUUGCUUAUGCUUGUAGGAGUGGGAAGGAGGACAUCAACUGGUAGCAUAAGCCCAGACACCUGAGUACCAUACCAUUCUCCUCUGAGAUACUGGGCAAGUCUUUCCAUUUCUAUGUACUGCUCUUCUCCCUCUAAACUGAAGCUAAUAACUUUCUUCCAUUUUUUAUAAUUCCUGUACCAGUUUACUCUUUCAGGCCUGAAGUGCCUGACAGUGGCAGUUUUGGUGCUUGUACACUUUAUUGCUUUUGCUGCUCCCUACUAAUAUUAAGAGAGUGUACUCCGAAACUCUGAUAACAUAUCUGGAAGCCAAAUCAGAAAGCAUACUGCUUUUGUUUUUUUUUUUUCUUUUUCAGGGUUUGAGUAGCACAAUGAGCACCAUUAGGUUCACAAAUUUCUGCAAAGAAGAGACACCGUGCAAAAUACUGAAUUUUUGUCCGCAUAGCUAGGCUCCUUGUUUGACAUCUGAAGUCAGUACUGAAUCUCAUGUAGAUAAAAUCCCAGAAGAUCCUG